UGGAUAUGGAGGCUGCCUCAGGAUGCUGUGGAGUCAAUUCUACGCUUCCCUAUAAUACCACAGGACAUCAUUGCAGCAAGUAAAGACCAGCCUUUCAGUUCAGCUAAUGUUGCAGCUCCAUAGGAGACCUCGGGAGUGACAGACUAACAGCUUCUUAGGAUUGCCAGUGAGAUGUCAGAUCGAAAGAGAGACUGGAAGCUUCUAGCCAAUAAUUUGGGUUUUCUAGAAAAAGAGAGCCAUGCCUUUGAAGGCAAACAUUCAGAGAUCAAUCAACAGAUAUUGGAGAUGUUGCAGACAUGGCAGAGAAAAGCAGGAUCGCUAACUGAAGCUUCUGUACUGCAGUCUGCGUUACAGGCCAGUGGAAAUACAGACAUAAGCAAUGAGGUCUUCCAGCUCAGCUUCUGAAAACACCACUGAUCUCCAGGAUCGGUUUGGGUUGACAGACAAAAUCCGCGAAUCAAUCUGCCAUUAGAGACUGAGAGAACUAUUGUGUCAGUUGGCCAACUAAAUGCAACUGAAGCAUCAUGGGAAAAUGCACACACUGCACAUGCUCAGAUGUGCCUUCAUGUGCCCUCGGCUUUUGGAGAGUUUAAGCCU